rnacentral:lncRNA from 1 species
UUCCUUCCACACCUGAUAAUGAUUAAAAGGAAGAAAUGAAAAAAAAAAUGGUGAAUCUUUUUGACACGGUUAAAGGAGAAGAGACGAUUUGCAUCAAAAGAUACGAGGACGAGAGAGGCAACAUUAUCCCAAAACCAAAAAUGCUGACCAAACCCGUCACAGCCACGUGUCAUCCCGAUCUCUUCUUUGGCUGUCAUGAGGAACGUUCGAUGCUCUGCUCACCGGUCGUAUCUUUAUCCUCAAUCCUCAUCAUCAUCUUCCUCGAAACGUGCGACACACAAAACCCAAGUAUAAAGAUCACACCUUUCAAUCUUAAAUAUCUCUGAAUCAAACUCAUUUGGUGGGCAGAGAGAGAGAUAAGAGAAAGAUUCAAAAAGAUGGAUCACGCAGCUGAUGCUCACCGUACUGAUUUGAUGACCAUUACGAGAUUUGUGUUGAAUGAACAAUCCAAGUAUCCUGAGUCUCGUGGGGAUUUCACGAUUUUGCUUAGUCAUAUCGUUUUGGGAU